rnacentral:rRNA from 1 species
GAAAGAUUCAUCGGAAGAGGAUGGGCAUGCGGCGCAUUAGCUAGACGGCGGGGUAACGGCCCACCGUGGCGACGAUGCGUAGGGGUUCUGAGAGGAAGGUCCCCCACACUGGUACUGAGACACGGACCAGACUCCUACGGGAGGCAGCAGUGAGGAAUAUUGGUCAAUGGGAGAGAUCCUGAACCAGCCAAGCCGCGUGAGGGAAGACGGCCCUAUGGGUUGUAAACCUCUUUUGUCGGAGAACAAAACCCGGAACGUGUCCCGGACUGCGUGUAUCCGAAGAAAAAGCAUCGGCUAACUCCGUGCCAGCGGCCGCGGUAAUACGGAGGAUGCGAGCGUUAUCCGGAUUUAUUGGGUUUAAAGGGUGCGUAGGCGGUCCGUUAAGUCAGCGGUAAAAUUGCGGGGCUCAACCCCGUCGAGCCGUUGAAACUGGCAGACUUGAGUUGGCGAGAAGUACGCGGAAUGCGCGGUGUAGCGGUGAAAUGCAUAGAUAUCGCGCAGAACUCCGAUUGCGAAGGCAGCGUACCGGCGCCAGACUGACGCUGAGGCACGAAAGCGUGGGGAUCGAACAGGAUUAGAUACCCUGGUAGUCCACGCAGUAAACGAUGAAUGCUGGUUGUCCGGGUCGAAUGAGAUCUGG